AGAGAGAGAGAGAGAGAGAACAACACUUUGUUGGACAAUUAUAUAUAUUUGCGUUUACAUUCACACAAAAAAUCCAUUUUCACUGGUUAACACUGUUUUAAGUUCUUUUCAAAUUUUCAUUCUUUUUGUUUGUUUCUGCUUUGUUUUAUUUUUUUAAAUAUUGGUUGGGAAUGUCUUGUCACAGGUUGCAGAAUACCUUGUUCCAAAUAUAAGAUCUAUCCCUGCCAAUGGAUCAAUGAAGCCUACUUAUAUUCGAUUUCUUACCGGCAUAAAAGCCUACUCACAAAUAUUCUCAAGACUAGCUUUCGGUGCAAGAAGAAACAGAUAUUUACUUGAAGAUUGAAAAGCAUGUGGGCUCUUGUUUUUUCCCUGAAAAAUGUUUUGUGUAAAUUUGCAAGUUAUUCCAUAUUCAGUCGAUAUAUAUAUAUUUUUUGUUCAUAUGGAUUUUUUUUUCUUUUGAGUCAAUGACAUUUACAUACGAAGCAUGGCAAUGUUUUCAGUUUCUAUGGGCAAACGAUUAGAACGUGUUUGGUAGUGUAUAAUUGAAUUUGGGAUAAGUUCAGAUUUGAGAAAUAAUAGUGGUGAUGAGUUUGGAUUGAAUUUGG
rnacentral:misc_RNA from 1 species